rnacentral:rRNA from 1 species
GACGAACGCUGGCGGCGUGCUUAACACAUGCAAGUCGAGCGGAGCGGCGAACGGGUGAGUAACGCGUGAGUAACUGCCCCCCUCUCUGGUAUAACAGUUGGAAACGGCUGCUAAUACCGGAUCGUGGGGGAUGACUCGCGUCCUAUCCGCUGGUGGGUGGGGUAGUGGCCUACCAAGGCGACGACGGGUAGCCGGCCUGAGAGGGCGACCGGCCAAAUGGGGCUGAGAUACGGCCCAAACUCCUACGGGAGGCAGCAGUGGGGAAUAUUGCACAAGGGGGGAAACACUGAUGCAGCAACGCCGCGGGCGGGAUGACGGACUGCGGGUUGUAAACCGCUUUCAGCCAUGACGCGGUAGUGGCAGAAGAAGCACCGGCUAACUACGUGCCAGCCGCCGCGGUAAUAC